rnacentral:rRNA from 1 species
UACGAAGGGGGCUAGCGUUGCUCGGAAUUACUGGGCGUAAAGGGAGCGUAGGCGGAUAGUUUAGUCAGAGGUGAAAGCCCAGGGCUCAACCUUGGAAUUGCCUUUGAUACUGGCUAUCUUGAGUAUGGGAGAGGUGUGUGGAACUCCGAGUGUAGAGGUGAAAUUCGUAGAUAUUCGGAAGAACACCAGUGGCGAAGGCGGCACACUGGCCCAUUACUGACGCUGAGGCUCGAAAGCGUGGGGAGCAAACAGG